rnacentral:rRNA from 1 species
UCCCCUAGUAACGGCGAGUGAAGCGGGAAGAGCUCAAGCUUAAAAUCUCUAUGCAAGUUUUGCAUGGCGAAUUGUAGUCUAUUGAGGCUGUUGUCAGCACGGCGAUUUGGGACAAGUCCCUUGGAAAAGGGCAGCAUAGAGGGUGAUACUCCCGUCUCUGCUCAAGUCGCUUGUGUGUACGAUACGCUUUCUUUGAGUCGAGUUGCUUGGGAAUGCAGCUCAAAGUAGGUGGUAAAUUCCAUCUAAAGCUAAAUAUAGGUGCGAGACCGAUAGCGAACAAGUACCGUGAGGGAAAGAUGAAAAGAACUUUGAAAAGAGAGUUAAAGAGUACCUGAAACUGUUGAAAGGGAAUCGUAUCGUUUCCAGUGUCUUAUCCUUUGCAUAUUUCAUUAGCGGAGCAAUUUGCUGGUGCCCUGUGUAUUGGUGUGACGUCAGAGUCAGUUUGUAUGUCGCGGGAGAUGGUUAUCAAGGAGGUAUUCUAGGCAUGAAUUUGUUUAGUUGUUAUAUCUUGGUAUCUAGUASCCGUGGCUGAGACUGAGGUGCCUACAACAUGCCUUGGGGAUCUGCUGGUGUCUCAUCUGAGUAAUUGUUUGGAUAGCUUGCUAUGCUUGUGGUUAUGUUGGGUGAUUGAUAUUGGUAGUA